UACGUAGGGACCGAGCGUUGUCCGGAUUCAUUGGGCGUAAAGAGCUCGUAGGCGGCUGUUCAAGUCGAACGUGAAAACUCGGAGCUCAACUCCGAGCCUGCGUUCGAUACUGGACGGCUAGAGUCUGGUAGGGGGAUCUGGAAUUCCUGGUGUAGCGGUGGAAUGCGCAGAUAUCAGGAGGAACACCGAUAGCGAAGGCAGCUCGCUGGGACGGUACUGACGCUGAGGCGCGAAAGCGUGGGGAGCGAACAGG
rnacentral:rRNA from 1 species